UCUUUCUCCUUUUCUUCUUUCUCCUUCUCUUUCUCUUUUUCUUUCUCUCUUUCCGUUGAAGAAAUCGAACGGGUAAUAAGAACAAAAUCUCGAAGAGCAGCAACAGCAAUAAAAUUAAAAAUAAAAGAGUUCUCUCUUUCUUUUCCUUUGUAUUUCUCUCCUUUUUUUACUCGAACUGAUCGACAAGAAAGAUAAUGAGAG
rnacentral:ribozyme from 13 species